UGGGGAAUAUUGCACAAUGGGCGCAAGCCUGAUGCAGCGACGCCGCGUGAGGGAUGGAGGCCUUCGGGUUGUAAACCUCUUUCGCCAGUGAAGCAGGCCAUCUUCUUUGUGGGGUGGUUGACGGUAGCUGGAUAAGAAGCGCCGGCUAACUACGUGCCAGCAGCCGCGGUAAUACGUAGGGCGCGAGCGUUGUCCGGAAUUAUUGGGCGUAAAGAGCUCGUAGGCGGCUGGUCGCGUCUGUCGUGAAAUCCCCUGGCUUAACUGGGGGCUUGCGGUGGGUACGGGCCGGCUUGAGUGCGGUAGGGGAGGCUAGAAUUCCUGGUGUAGCGGUGGAAUGCGCAGAUAUCAGGAGGAACACCGGUGGCGAAGGCGGGUCUCUGGGCCGUUACUGACGCUGAGGAGCGAAAGCGUGGGGAGCGAACAGG
rnacentral:rRNA from 1 species